rnacentral:snRNA from 1 species
AUACUAAUCUGGCAGGGGAGAUACCAUAAUCACAAAAGUGGUUUUUUCAAGGCUGAGGUUUUUCCACUACAUUCUGAAAUGUAGUGGAUGUGUCACCCUCCCAGCACCUAAAUUUUCUAGUGUGGGAACUUGACUGCUUAAGUUUUGGUAGUGGGAAACUGCAUUUGUGCUCUCCUGU